CCCUUAGAUGUUCUGGGCCGCACGCGCGCUACACUGAUUCAUGCAACAAGUUUUGUCCUUGGCUGAUAGGCCUGGGUAAUCUUUGAACGUGAAUCGUGAUGGGGAUAGAUGAUUGCAAUUAUUCAUCUUCAACGAGGAAUUCCUAGUAAACGCAAGUCAUCAGCUUGCAUUGAUUACGUCCCUGCCCUUUGUACACACCGCCCGUCGCACCUACCGAUUGAAUGGUCCGGUGAAAUCUCGGGACGGCGGCUUGGUCGCUUGCGUCCGACUGCUGAAACUUGAUUAAACCAUAUCAUUUAGAGGAAGGUGAAGUCGUAACA
rnacentral:rRNA from 1 species